rnacentral:rRNA from 1 species
GCUGAUUAGGUCGUGGUGGGGGUAAAGGCCCACCAAGCCGAUGAUCGGUACGGGUUGUGAGAGCAAGAGCCCGGAGAUGGAACCUGAGACAAGGUUCCAGACCCUACGGGGUGCAGCAGGCGCGAAACCUCCACAAUGUACGAAAGUGCGAUGGGGGGAUCCCAAGUGCUAUUCUUAACAGAAUAGCUUUUCAUUAGUGUAAAAAGCUUUUAGAAUAAGAGCUGGGCAAGACCGGUGCCAGCCGCCGCGGUAAUACCGGCAGCUCAAGUGGUAGCUGUUUUUAUUGGGCCUAAAGCGUUCGUAGCCGGUUUAAUAAGUCUUUGGUGAAAGCUUGUAGCUUAACUAUAAGAAUUGCUGGAGAUACUAUUAGACUUGAAGUCGGGAGAGGUUAGAGGUACUACCGGGGUAGGGGUGAAAUCCUAUAAUCCUGGGAGGACCACCUGUGGCGAAGGUGUCUAACUAGAACGAUCUUGACGGUGAGUAACGAAAGCCAGGGGCGCGAACCGGAUUAGAUACCCGGGUAGUCCUGGCCGUAAACGAUGUGGACUUGGUGUUGGAAUGGCUUCGAGUUGUUCCAGUGCCGAAGGGAAGCUGUUAAGUCCACCGCCUGGGAAGUACGGUCGCAAGACUGAAACUUAA